CGGACGGGUGAGUAAUGUCUGGGAAACUGCCCGAUGGAGGGGGAUAACUACUGGAAACAGUAGCUAAUACCGCAUAACGUCGCAAGACCAAAGAGGGGGACCUUAGGGCCUCUUGCCAUCGGAUGUGCCCAGAUGGGAUUAGCUAGUAGGUGGGGUAAUGGCUCACCUAGGCGACGAUCCCUAGCUGGUCUGAGAGGAUGACCAGCCACACUGGAACUGAGACACGGUCCAG
rnacentral:rRNA from 1 species